rnacentral:misc_RNA from 1 species
AUGCGAUUUUAUUUCCCUGAACGAGGUUGAAUAUCAGCCAUCUCUGCGAGGUCACCCGGAGCAAAAAAAUUGUCCUUGCCAAUUCUAAACCCUGAAAUGCAUUUGUACAUACCUCUCUACAUCACAUGUGACCCUUGAUUAAAUUCAGACCUUCUGGUGAUAUGCUUCUUUGAACUCGAAAUUGUGGAAUCUCUAUCCGAGGAGGUGGGUCUGGCGAGAAACAAACCACUAUCACUGUUACAUUAUCACAUGUUUUGCGCUUUAGAGCCUCCCUGACCAACUCUCUUGAGCAUCUUUCAGCAUCGUUAUGUAGCAUUAGUUCCUUCCUUGCAAUUGUCACUGCACACUGGCUGCUCAUUACAUCCCACAGGCCAUCACAACCUAGGAUCAAAAACUCAUCCUCCUCGCUUAGAUUUGUCUCCUGCAAUUCUGGCUCUGCAGUUAAAGGGCAUGCAGAACCCCUGGGCCCCUUCAUGUGCCAGUCUCCUAGGGCACGCGCAACAGAUAACUGGCCAUUAAGGUAGCCAUCAUAUAUGACUCCACCGAGUUUCUCAAUUCUCAGUUUUUCAGAUAUGCAAAUAGGUUUGUGGUCUUUGGACAUCUCUAUUGCUCUACCUCGCCUCCCCAGCACUGCUCGACAAUCUCCAGCAUUGGCAAUUAUCAAGGUUCUUCCAAAUAUAAGGGCAGUUAGUGCAGUGGUACCAGAUGAGAUAUCAAGUUCACUAUCAUCUGCAAAUGCAUAAUCAGCUUUCACAAAAGCACUCUCAAUUGCCUUCUCCACACAAAUUGGAAAAUGAGAAUCCUCAAUUAUGAACCUGAGAAUAUUACGUCUAACAAAUGAUGCUGCAUCAGUACCUCCAUGCCCAUCAAAUACCCCAUAGAAGGCUCCAGGAGAGGGGAAAUUGGACGUUUCACCUAGAUGUUCAAUAAGAUUAUCUAUACAGACAUGUUCAUCCUCCAUAUACUGUUUAGGCCCUCCUUCAGCACAGCUCCCUGAUCGGAACACUG